GGGGGCUUAGCUCAGAUGGGGAGAGCGCCUGCUUUGCACGCAGGAGGUCAGCGGUUCGAUCCCGCUAGUCUCCACCA
rnacentral:tRNA from 1 species